UUAAUCUCGGCCAUAUCUCCUUGACUCCUUUAUCCUGGAACUCUCUCCUAUAUUUUACGAUCCUCCAAUUUCAUCAGCCUCCCCUCCACAAUCAAUUGACCGGAGAUCUUCACCAUCACAACCACUCACGCCAUCUCCAACCUCUGUCAACCACCACCGCCUGAAAACCAAUUCACCAAGAAGCACCAACCACCAAACGGUCUCCCACAUACCCUAAACAUCACCGUCAGCCAACAACAACCACCACCACCAUCGAGCUUCCACUGCCAUCAACGAAAACUUCUAGCUGAAAGUAGAAUAAUACAAUGCAUAUGCUUCCGUAUCUCUCGAGGUUCUUUUGAUGCAACCCUUUGAUCCGUGCUAAGUUGCCUUUAAGUCGUAGAUCCCGACAAAAAUCUUUAGGUUCUGGUUCAUCUUCCUUUAUAUCAGGCUCUUCAUCUCCUUUGCUGAAAUCAUUCCUUGUGUUCCUCCAUCAAUUGAAAAACUCUAAGACCACUCACCACCAUCAUUCAACCCUGCAACGCCACCACUGAACCACUAACACAGCUCUCUCCCUCUCCGUCUCUCUCUAAAAAAAUGCCUAAACACUAAUCUCGCUCUCUCUGCACAAUCUUUCACGGCGUUCCUCCAUCUCUCUAUCGGGUUCUCUCAUCAUUUAACAUUAAUUUCAAUUUUAGAAGCUCCAACCUCAUGUAUAAUUUAUGGCAAUCGCUCCACCUACUACUUCUAAAAUGUACAUGGCGGUCCUAACCUUCUCAGGCUCUUCUUCUCUCUCUGAAAACCCUAGACCCCCACCACUCUCUGUAUAGAACCGUCAUACCCACACAAUUUCUUGGUAAUAGAUCCAGGGAGAUAAAGUCAUCUAAAAAUGCCGAUGCUUUUCUCUUUCAACACAACGAUGACCGCUGAUUUAGGGCUUAUUUGAGAAAGGUCCUGUACGGUUCAUGGGAUGCUUGUAAGAAUCCUCUUUCUUGAAACUCUUUCUCUUUGUUUCUAUUUCUCUCUAUCAUGAAUAAAUAGCGAUUUAUGUGAUUGUACUUGUGUAUAGAUAUUUACACCGAUGAUCAUUUUAAUGGAUACAAAACAGGGGCUCAUGUGAACAUUUAAAACUCUGUGAGAUUUACAAUUGACAGUGUAACGAUUAUUUAUAUUUUGCUACAAUUUAUGGAUUUAAUCUUGUAUGUAUGCUCUGUAUGCAUACAUACAAGAUUACUAACUUUGAAUUUAUAUCUUUUUGACUGAUCUCUUUGAGUAAUGUUUGGUAUGGUGUAGUUCUUUCAUGUGGUGCUAUUUAUUAUAUUUGGUGUAUGUUUUAGCCGGAUGGGUUUGGGGUAUCUCUUGGGCUUUAUACAAUAAAGUUCACAUUUAUUCCAAUAAUAAGAUUUUUUUUUUGUUUUCCGGCUCCUAGAGACAAUUAGGUUAUUUGUUGAUUUUUAUUUAUAUUAUACAGUUCACAUUUAUUCCAAUAAUAAGAAUUUUUUUUUUUUUUUAGCUCCUGGAGACAAUUAUAUUAUUUGUUGAUUUUUUUGGUAUUAUGUGAAAGGAGAGGAGAAAUAUGGUGUGGUGUGGUGUUGACUAAAGAAUUGUGGUUGUGGCUUCAACCAACAGGUUGAAGUGACAAACGGUUGUCCUAAGAAACAAACAUAAACAUGACCGACAAGAACAUGACUGGGGAACGAAUAGUAAUUAUCAAACUAAUGGGGUUAUUUGUAAGAAAAUCUUAAAGAUUAUGAAGAUUUUUAUACUACUACUAUAAUUUGAAUACGA